rnacentral:rRNA from 1 species
AAUCAACGCUGGCGGCGUGCCUAACACAUGCAAGUCGAACGCGGUUACCCCGCAAGGGGUAACUGAGUGGCGAACGGGUGAGUAACGCGUGGGUGACCUACCUUCGAGUGGGGGAUAACGUCCCGAAAGGGACGCUAAUACCGCAUAACAUCCUGCCUUUGAACAGGCGGUGAUCAAAGCCGGGGAUCGCAAGACCUGGCGCUUGAUGAGGGGCCCGCGUCUGAUUAGCUAGUUGGUGAGGUAAUGGCCCACCAAGGCAACGAUCAGUAUCCGGCCUGAGAGGGCGGACGGACACACUGGGACUGAGACACGGCCCAGACUCCUACGGGAGGCAGCAGUGGGGAAUUGUUCGCAAUGGGCGCAAGCCUGACGACGCAACGCCGCGUGGAGGAUGAAGGUCUUCGGAUUGUAAACUCCUGUUGCUCGGGACGAAUGGCUCCGGCCUAAUACGUCGGAGUGUGAUGGUACCGGGUGAGGAAGCCCGGCUAACUCUGUGCCAGCCGCCGCCGUA